rnacentral:rRNA from 1 species
AUACGUAGGGGGCGAGCGUUGUCCGGAAUUAUUGGGCGUAAAGGGUACGUAGGCGGUUUUUUAAGUCUGGUGUGAAAUUGGUGGGCUCAACCCACCCAAGCAUUGGAAACUGGAAAACUUGAGUCAUGGAGAGGAAAGUGGAAUUCCUAGUGUAGCGGUGAAAUGCGUAGAUAUUAGGAAGAACACCGGGGGCGAAGGCGGCUAUCUGGACAGUAACUGUCGCUGAGGCGCGAACGCGUGGGGAACAAGCAGUAUUAGAUGCCCUGGUAGUCCUCGGCGUAAACUAUGAUAGCUAUCUUUUAGCGAUACACAGUUAGAGCGUAAGACAAAACAUUAAGUUAUCCCCCUGGGGAUUACGGUCUCACGAAUGAAACUCAAAGGAAGUGACGGGG